UAUAUAUAUAUUUAAAAAAAGUUUAAAAAAAAGAGACAAAAAAAAAAAAGAAAUAUAUAUAUAUAGGCAGAAUCCAAGUGAUAAUUCCAGGUGUUGUUGGAUGGGAGGAAGGAUGCUAAUUAGGUUCUGUGACAGUGCCCCUGACCCUCGGGAAUUUUAAAUAUUCCAAAAAAAGAAAAAAACAAAAAACACAUGGAAGCUUGAAUUUUAGGCAGGAAUCCUAAAUCCUUGAGGGGGGUGUGGAUUGGCUCCCUGUGGCCUUGAGGAGGGUUGGGGUUGGUUGAGUUUUUUUUAAAUAAUUUUAUUUUUCAAUGUUUUAUUUUGGGGUUUUUUUUUUUUUUUGCCAGUCGGUGUUGGAAUGUUGGGAUGGGGGGGGAGGGGGAUCCCUGUGGAUUUGGAUCCCACCUCGGGCAGGGGGAAUAAUUGGGAUUUUGGGCAGUGAAUCCCCCCAGGAAGGUGCUGGAGGGACUUGGAUCCAGGUUGGAAUUGUGUUGCUCCCUGUGGAAUUGGAUCCUUCCAGCUCUUCCCUGGGAGAAAAACUGGGAUCUGGGAAGUGAAUCCUUCUGGGAAAGUGCUGGAGGGACCCAGAUCCAGGUUGGAAUGGGAAUGUCUGUGUUGUUCCCCAUGGAUUUGUAUCCCUCCAGCUCUUCCCUGGGAGAUAAACUGGGAUCUGGGAAGUGAAUCCCUCUGAGAAAGUGCUGGAGGGACUUGGAUCCAGGUUGGAACUGUGAUGCUCCCUGUGGAAUUGGAUCCCUCCAGCUCUUCCCUGGGAGAUAAACUGGGAUCUGGGAAGUGAAUCCUUCUGGGAAAGUGCUGGAGGGACUUGGAUCCAGGUUGGAAUUGUGUUGCUCCCUGUGGGGUUUGGAUCCUUCCAGCUCUUCCCUGGGAGAUAAAUUGGGAUCUGGGCAGUGAAUCCCUCUGGGAAGGUGUGGAGGGACUUGGAUCCAGGUUGGAAUGGGAAUGUCUGUGUUGUUCCCCAUGGAUUUGUAUCCCUCCAGCUCUUCCCUGGUAGAUAAACUGGGAUCUGGGAAGAGAAUCCCUCUGGGAAAGUGCUGGAGGGACCUGGAUCCAGGUUGGAUUUGGGGGGAAGGAUCAUGUUGUUCCCUGGGGAUUUGUAUCCCUCCUGCUCCCACCUUGGGCAGGGAAACUGGAACCUGGAUCCAGGCUGGAAUAGGGGGGUGUGAUGCUCCCUGUGGAAUUGGAUCCUUCCAGCUCUUCCCUGGGAGAUAAACUGGGAUCUGGGAAGUGAAUCCCUCUGGGAAAGUACUGGAGGGACCUAAAUCCAGAACGGAAAGAGGCCUGAAAUAUUCCCCAUGGAUUUGUGUUCCCAUGGAUUUGUGUCCCACAUGGAUUCGUGUCCCCCAUGGAUUCAUGUCCCUCUCCUUCCCCCCUUGGGCAGUUCAGUUGGAAUUCCGGGAAGGUGCUGGAAGGACCCAGAUCCAGGUGGGAACGGGGCUGGGAAUGUUCCCUGUGGAUUUACAUCCCCCCCCCCUCCACUCCCUCCUCGGGGCAGUAAAUCGGGAUUUGGGCAGGGAAUUCCCCCCGGGAAGGUGCCAGAGGGAUCCGGGCUGGGAUGGCAGCGCUGGCAAAUUUUGGGAUAUGCAA